CCUACGGGAGGCAGCAGUGGGGAAUAUUGGGCAAUGGGCGCAAGCCUGACCCAGCAAUGCCGCGUGAAGGAAGAAGGCUUUCGGGUUGUAAACUUCUGUGACAGGGGAAGAGCAGAAGACGGUACCCUGAAAACAAGCCACGGCUAACUACGUGCCAGCAGCCGCGGUAAUACGUAGGUGGCAAGCGUUGUCCGGAUUUACUGGGUGUAAAGGGCGUGUAGCCGGGAAGGCAAGUCAGAUGUGAAAUCUGGAGGCUCAACCGCCAAAUUGCAUUUGAAACUGUUUUUCUUGAGUACUGGAGAGGGAGACGGAAUUCCUGGUGUAGGGGUGAAAUGCGUAGAUAGAAGGAGGAACACCAGUGGCGAAGGCGGUCUGCUGGACAGCAACUGACGGUGAGGCGCGAAAGCGUGGGGAGCAAACAGGAUUAGAUACCCCAGUAGUC
rnacentral:rRNA from 1 species